rnacentral:sRNA from 1 species
AUAUAAAAUCUAUAAUUAUUAUUAUUCGAAAGAAAGACACAUAUCCCAAAGAAGAUGACACAGCACGAAGACAGAGACACAUCCCUCAGACCCAAAUAGGCCGAGAUGAUAAAAUGGUUUGUUUUUAGAAGGGCGUGCUCUCGAAAUUUCUGACUGUUCCUUCAGUGAUGCAGUUUCCUUCUAUAAACGGAAUGAAACUGGUCAGUUGAUGUCCUCUGAUAGUACUGAUACCAUCACAUGUCAAGCAGGUUUAGAGACACUUACAUGUAAAGGAAAAUAAAGUCAACAAUUCAAUUUACAACUGUCACAAUUUACAAUAUCAAAUUUACAACUGUCACAAUUUACAAUAUCAAAUUUACAACUGUCAAAAUUUACGUCUAUUAGUUUACAGGUGUUCCAAGUUACACCAGUCUAUCCAAUGUACUUAAAACUUCAAUUCUUAAGGUAAUUGAAUGCUGGUCACUAAGUUUAAAGUUUAGUGGCCGGGUGCUAGUUAGUGCACAGAGUCAUUCUACUGUUCAGAAACAACAAAAUUAAAUAAGCUUUGAUUAUGAAAAAUAUAGAUCUAAUAAAUCGCAAAGGAAAAGUGCAACGCCGAGAUAGGACAAGGUCACCAAAGAAAGCACACACACACAAGAUAGGAGAAGGUCGCCAAAGAAAGCACACACAAGAUAGGAGAAGGUCGCCAAAGAAAGCACACACACACAAGAUAGGAGAAGGUCGCCAAAGAAAGCACACACAAGAUAGGAGAAGGUCGCCAAAGAAAGCACACACACACAAGAUAGGAGAAGGUCGCCAAAGAAAGCACACACACACA